GGCGCUGUUGCUCUGUUGGUGAGGGGCGACCGGAUUUUCACUCCGGGUAGGACGCGGGUUCGAUUCCCGUCAGCGCUA
rnacentral:tRNA from 1 species